AAUAGAAAUGUCCACUGAGUGGCGCUAAAACACAGGUUCAAUAUGUAAACCCUGGCACGUUUUUAUUAUGUAGAUAUUGGUACGUAUUGCUGUUUUUUUUAUUACGUUGCUUCAGAUACUAUUGCGGCGGUUCAGAAUUCAAAUAUCCGGAGACUGUCGCUAAAGGUUAAUGCUCUAUCGUGUUGGAAAUAUGCCCUACACCAAAUCCAGCCCUAAACCUACCCGAUAGUGUUAACAAAUGCAAAACUGAUAUAAAAACAUAUUAGCUGAUGCAACUGUGCUAUUUGAACUUCCUUUUACGCAGAUUUUAAAUGCUUUGUAGAACCGUAGUUACACGGGAUUCAAACCGGUGCUUCUCGUCUCCGUCCGUCUCCGUACUCCGUGAACUACCGAACAAACUUAUCAUCUAUGAAAACCCAUAUAUAUGAAGCCGGAUGUGUGCGAUGCUAACGUUCAAAAGCAUCAGUUUUCAAAUCUCCCAGCAUAUUAAUAUUGUUUUGAAGUUAUAUCAUGAUAUUCUUCAAGUAAUUGUGCGAAAAUUACGCUUUAUUAAUCGCAACUCUGUAAAUUUGUGUGAAAGUGUUCAUUUAUUUUGGAAACUGCAGUGAUAUGUACUUAUUGCUACGUAUUUCAUGUCACGCUAAAAAGUGCACCCAGGUACAUAAAUGCCAUGAGACCAGAAAAAAGAAAACAGUCCGAUGAAUAAUAGUUGAACUGACCCGAGGUUUUGCUCUUUUCUGAUAUGCCCUUGAGGCUUGUGAGCAGUGCUCUGUCUUCACCUCCUUCUUCAGAUGUAUCCUUACCACUCUCAGCACAAAACAUGUUCAAUUCUGACAGCAGUGCGUCCUAUAUGCCUAUGCAGAUAUGAUGCACAACAUACUUGCUCUUAUUUGUCUUUAUGUAGGGUGCCUGUGAGGCCAUGAAUUCGUAUGAGCUACACAGAGGAGACAUCACAUCCCGAUGUCUGUGAUCUUUCCUGCCCUGAGUUCAUCUGCCCUCUUCAGCGAGCAUAAGAGUCUCGCCUCUGUAUCUCUUUCUCGCACUCGGAGGCAUCUGUUCUGUCAUACCCUACGCCUCAUUAGCGAUGCUAACACGAGGAGGAUUUAACAGAUGUUUAUGACAAACCAGCUCACACUUACCUGCAGGAUGAAGACAUUAAAAGACCUACAAGAUCACAAAACUCCUCCUAAAAGACCACACAUGCCUCAAAGCCAGCACAGAGUGGCGGGCUAGCAGGCUGAGGAGUUAGAGCAUUGUAUUUGUAUUUGUAAGGUAACCCUUAGUAAUUGUUUGCAGCUGUAUAGUCAGCCCCUAGUGUUUUUAUUUUUAGAAAGCAGAGCUCUGGCAGCGAUUCGCCCUUCGGUGGGGGCUCUUGUCUUAUGCUCAACGUGAAGUGGUUGUUGACAGUGUUCUGUAGGUCUGGGCUUACACCGCUGUCACCUUUGAAAAACAUUGGAAUGGUCUCUUUAAAAGGCAAUUAUUAGCAGACAGCAGUGGUCAAGAGUGUUAUUCUAUAGGUGGAAUCGGUAGGGAACAUGUCAAGUA